AGCGAACGCUGGCGGUAGGCCUAACACAUGCAAGUCGAACGGCAGCACAGUAAGAGCUUGCUCUUACGGGUUGCGAGUGGCGGACGGGUGAGGAAUACAUCGGACUCUACUUUUUCGUGGGGCUUCACGUAGGUAAACUUACGCUAAUACCGCAUACGACCUUCGGUUGAAAGCAGUGGAUCUUCGCACCUUGCGCGAUUGAAUGCGCCGAUGUCGGACUAGUUAGUUGGCGGGGUAAAGGCCCACCAAGGCGACGAUCCGUAGCUGGUCUGAGAGGAUGAUAAGCCACACUGGAACUGGGACACGGUCAAGGCGACUAAGGGAGGCAGCAGUGGGGAAUAGGGGACAAUGGGCGCAAGCCUGAUCCAGCCAGACCGCGUGGGUGAAGAAGGCCUUCGGGUUGUAAAGACCUUUUGUUGGGAAAGAAAAGCAGCAGGUUAAUACCCCGCUGGUCUGACGGUACCCAAAGAAUAAGCACCGGCUAACUUCGUG
rnacentral:rRNA from 1 species